AACGAACGCUGGCGGCAUGCCUAACACAUGCAAGUCGAACGAGACCUUCGGGUCUAGUGGCGCACGGGUGCGUAACGCGUGGGAAUCUGCCCUUGGGUUCGGAAUAACAGUUGGAAACGACUGCUAAUACCGGAUGAUGACGUAAGCCCAAAGAUUUAUCGCCCAGGGAUGAGCCCGCGUAGGAUUAGCUAGUUGGUGGGGUAAAGGCCUACCAAGGCGACGAUCCUUAGCUGGUCUGAGAGGAUGAUCAGCCACACUGGGACUGAGACACGGCCCAGACUCCUACGGGAGGCAGCAGUGGGGAAUAUUGGACAAUGGGCGAAAGCCUGAUCCAGCAAUGCCGCGUGAGUGAUGAAGGCCUUAGGGUUGUAAAGCUCUUUUACCCGGGAUGAUAAUGACAGUACCGGGAGAAUAAGCCCCGGCUAACUCCGUG
rnacentral:rRNA from 1 species